rnacentral:lncRNA from 1 species
GGGGUAUAUGCUCUUAUAGGUUUGUCCAGAUCCAUAGAAUAUACAGUCGAGUGAACUUGAUGUAAAUUAUGGAACUUGAGUAACAGUGUAUCAAGGUAAGUUCAGCAGUCAUAACAAAUGUCAGAGGUGUCCAUGGUUGCAAGAAAAAUAAACUCUAAAAGCCCUUUAAAAUUAACCUUUUUAAAUACUUAAAAUAUGGUGUAGAUAAAAUUAAUAAAUAUUAAAGAGAAAUAUGUUUUAAAAUGCUAUUGUGAUUCUAUCUUAGUUCUUUGGAUUCAAAGCAUCAUCCAAAAUGGCUGACUUCUGCUUAUGUGAAGAGACCAGGUGGCCCAGAAGGAGUACUGGGGGUGCUGAGAAUCACCCUCACUACCCAGAAGAUUUAUAUUUCUACCAAGGAAGAAGCCCUUGGAUGUGCUGGAUCUUUACAAAAUUAGGAUAAAGGAAAAUAACAACAGAAAAGAAGUGUUUGUGGUAUCAGUAAUGUGAAAAGAUGCAUAGCAACUAUGUCAAAAUUCUCUGAAUACAUUGAGAAAAUGUUGGGGUGUGCUGGGACCUUCCCGAAGGGAAAAAGAAUGAGAAUCUUCAAGCUGCUGCCAGGCAUGACACAUGCCAUAUCUACCCACAUGUCAUUGGACAAAACAAGUCAUAUAGGCACAUCCAAUUUCAUUAGGAUGAAGAUGUGUACUCCUACUUCAGUGAAGUAG